GACGAACGCUGGCGGCGUGCUUAAUACAUGCAAGUCGAACGGAGGAUGUAGCGAUAUAUCCUCAGUGGCGAACGGGUGAGUAACGCGUUGGUGACCUGCCCCGAAGCGUGGGAUAACAGAUCGAAAGGUCUGCUAAUACCGCAUGAGAUCUUCCGGAUUAGAGGCUGGAAGAUGAAAGGAGCAAUCCGCUUUGGGAGGGGCCUGCGUCCCAUCAGCUAGUUGGUAAGGUAAAGGCUUACCAAGGCGAAGACGGGUAGGGGGCCUGAGAGGGUGACCCCCCACACUGGCACUGAAACACGGGCCAGACACCUACGGGUGGCAGCAGUAGGGAAUAUUGCACAAUGGGCGAAAGCCUGAUGCAGCAACGCCGCGUGCGCGAAGUAGGUCUUCGGAUCGUAAAGCGCUUUUUGGGGAGAUGAGGAAGGACAGUAUCCCCAGAAUAAGGCUCGGCUAACUACGUGCCAGCCGCCGCCGUAAAAC
rnacentral:rRNA from 1 species